rnacentral:rRNA from 1 species
UACGAAGGGGGCUAGCGUUGCUCGGAAUCACUGGGCGUAAAGGGUGCGUAGGCGGGUCUUUAAGUCAGGGGUGAAAUCCUGGAACUCAACUCCAGAACUGCCUUUGAUACUGAGGAUCUUGAGUUCGGGAGAGGUGAGUGGAACUGCGAGUGUAGAGGUGAAAUUCGUAGAUAUUCGCAAGAACACCAGUGGCGAAGGCGGCUCACUGGCCCGAUACUGACGCUGAGGCACGAAAGCGUGGGGAGCAAACAGG